ensembl:lncRNA
UUGAUACUCACAUUUUAACAUGAUUUUUCUAAAAAAAAAAAAAAAUUGUAUGGAUAAUCAAGUAAACCUAAGUUGCUUCAGUCCAAUAAGUGUUCAUCUUGAAAUAUUACUAACAAUGCAAAAGUUAUUCUCACACUUAUUAUGUAUGUUAAAAUCAGUAAAGACACGUGAACCACAACCUGAUGGUGGAUAUUGUUACACUAAAAGGCUUUUUACCUGUGAAGUAUAAAUUAGCAGAUGAUUGGUUUUCCUCAAAGUUUUGAUCAUUUAGAGGCCUUAGAAAUGUGUGCAUCAAAUACAGUGACUUUAUAUAAAAGGCUUUAUAGGGUUAAUAAGGGCUAGAUUAUAUUCUAUACUUUUAAUGUUUUUCAAGGUUUAUUGCACCAAAACCAGUCGUAGUUUAGUUUUUCACCCUCUCUCUGACCCUCAGAGUUAAAUAGUCCCUUUUGCUACUGUACCUUUAAGACUUGACCUUGGUUAAAGAAAUGGUUAACCCAAAAAUUAAAAUUCACAACCAAACAAAACUUUCCAGUUUGAGUAUGCUGAAUGGCAUUUAAAGGGGAAGAUCUUUAGUCAAUAACAACCACAACAAAGCUAUAUGACUUGGGAAAAAUAUGCAUAUGACUUGAAAAACCUGUGCAUUAGUGCAGUGACACCUUAGUUUUAAUCUCAAACUGAGCAAAAACUAUGCAGUUUGGUUCAGUUGCUGAUAUUUGUUUACAAGGUCAAAAAUGAGUGCAAUGAUAUAUGUGUGUGUGUGUGUGUGUGUGUGUGUGUGUGUGUGUGUGUGUGUGUGUGUGUGUGUGUGUGUGUGUGUGUGUGUAGACUUCAGCAGGAGUGUGUGGAAGCGGCUCGCAUAGCGGAGGAUCUGGCCCGGCAGGCUGCAGAAUUGGCCGUCAGACAGCUGGAGGAAGAGCAAACCACACAGAUCAUCAUCGACACGAAAACAGAAGAGCUGGACAAUGAGGAUCAACUGCCAAAUAUCCAGGAGGAAGAGAAUGAAGAAGAUCCGGAGUUACAGCCGCUCGGUGAAGAGAGUGAGGAGGAGAGAGAGGAUAGUAAGAUCACAGAUGCUGACAUGAAAAGGAGCCUGGUGGACGUCUGCCCUGCGGAGCCCUCGCCACAUGAGUCUGAGGUUUCAGAUCAGGCACUACAAGCAGAUCCGGUCUCACCGCUCGUGACCACUCAGCCUCAGCGUGCCACAUCUUUACCUCCUGAUGCUGACCAGGAAGAGGAACCUCCUGAAGAAGGAUGUGGAGUGCCUGCUAGCUGUUCUGGCAUAAAGAGCUGGAUUCUUCGCAUCCCCCAUGCUUCCACAUGUCUGAGCAGCUUACACCUGCUGAAAAACAAUAAUGUUCCCCUGCCCAAGAUGCCCUCCGAUCUCCUGCUGCUAUACCAGGAGAUAUCCCAGCUUCCAAAACAAGCCAACCAGUGCUUCCAGAACGUUAUCCAUCGCCUCAACAUCCUCAAGCCCAUGUAGAACUCCUCAGCAGCAGUAUGUAGUCUUGGAGUUAGAAUCUGUAGCUAGUGGAUUUUAUUCUUAAAACACCCAAGAGACCCACUGUCAUCCCAAGCCAAAGUGCCCUAAAAUCCAGAUCAUCCCAUGCUUGACACCUAUAGACAUGAUUUUGAAGUGCCCUACAGUUACAGAAAGAAACCAAACCUCCAGCAAUCUCUCAGGUGAACUGACUGUGCUAGAUAGCGCUGUGCUGUGCUGUGCUGUGCUGUCUGUUAUGUGCAAGUUAUUUGUUGCUAAUACAAGUACCAAUAUUACUAUUGUUCACACUUAAGGUUAGGGCUUUUUCAAAACUCUACCACAUAGUGUGCACUAUUGACAUGAAUAUUACCUCCAAUAUUGCAUCCUGUUGAGGAGAAAUGUACUGGACAAUAAAAAAAAUAAAUAAAUAAAAAUGGGUCAUAUUAAUAUAGCCGGCAAUAUUAAAUGAUAGACAUUUCAAAAUAAGAGUCAUGGUGUAUUUUUAGGCUUGUUUAUUAUUAAAAGUCCUGCAUUAUCAUACUUUUUUUUUUUUCCUUGGUUAUUAUCGGUAAUUUGGUCCGUCUUCGUUUCAGGCGUUUAAAGGGGGGUGAUUCUCCAUACCCACUGUACGUGUGUGUGUGUGUGUGUGUGUGUGUGUGUGUGUGUGUGUGUGUGUGUGUGUGUGUGUGUGUGUGUGUGUGUAGACACACACUACACACACACACACACAAUUUAUACAGCUUACAAUAGGUCUAUAAAUAUUUAAACAAAUAUUAAAUACAGUUUGAUGCCUGGUGUGCUUCUUGUAUUUUUAAUAAAGGUACAAUUUUCUUCUAUAAAUUUUCAUUGUGCCUCUAAAGUUUUGUAAUGUGCUCCUAAAUUGUUUUAUUUAGUCGCCCAUGUGCUCCUUUGGGGACAAAAGUCAGUAUAAAGCCCUGAUCUGAGAAAUCAUGGAAAAAAGUGGGGGGAAAAGUGAAAGUGAAAAUGUGAAUGUUCAACUUUCGUGUUUUAAGAUUUAUUAUCCACAGGUGUG